rnacentral:snRNA from 1 species
GGACUGUGAGGGCAAUUUCGCUGCAACAUCUGUCACCCCAUUGAUCGCCGGGGUUGAUUCGGCUGAUCUGGCUUGCUAGGUGGGUGUCCCCAUCCUCCCUCACUGCUCCAUGUGCGUCCCUCUGGCAGACGCGUACUCGGUCAAAGAGGACAACUUUCCCCAAACAGACGAGGACCAGUCUUUGGUCAAGGGUAUACAAGUAGCUGCACUCCCCUGCUAGAACCUCCAAGCAAGCUCUUAAGAAAGCUGCUGGCCCUGACAAAAGUUUUCCAGGACUGUAAGUAGCUUAGCUGGAGGGGCAGAAUUAGAACUCCAGAGAUUUGUUGCUGG